GUGCCAGCCGCCGCGGUAAGACAGAGGGUGCAAACGUUGUUCGGAAUUACUGGGCGUAAAGCGCGUGUAGGCGGCAAGGUAUGUCGGAUGUGAAAUCCCGUGGCUCAACCAUGGAAGUGCACCCGAAACUACCUCGCUGGAGUCCCGGAGAGGAAGGUAGAAUGCUUGGUGUAGAGGUGAAAUUCGUAGAUAUCAAGCGGAAUACCGGUGGCGAAGGCGGCCUUCUGGACGGUGACUGACGCUGAGACGCGAAAGCGUGGGGAGCAAACAGGAUUAGAUACCCCGGUAGUCC
rnacentral:rRNA from 1 species